rnacentral:rRNA from 1 species
AGAAUCAACGCUGGCGGCGUGCCUAACACAUGCAAGUCGAACGAGAAAGGGGAGCAAUCCCUGAGUAAAGUGGCGACCGGGUGAGUAACACGUGACUAACCUACCCUCGAGUGCGGAAUAACAUCGGGAAACCGAUGCUAAUACCGCAUAACAUCGGCGCUUUUAAGAGAUGCCGAUCAAAGGAGCAAUCCGCUUGAGGAGGGGGUCGCGGCUGAUUAGCUAGUUGGCGGGGUAACGGCCCACCAAGGCGAAGAUCGGUA